CAACUUCAGCUGAUCGUCGCUAGGGCGCAGUAGUAGUCUUUUGUUUACAUUUUGCUUUGCAUUAUCAGCAUCUGCGCGCGCCGCGUUGUUCUCCGUUCUCCGCUUCUUCAUCAGUUGCGUUUUUUUCCGCCGGGUCGUCUGAACAUGUGAUGUAAACAAACCGUUCGACCACAUGGUUUAUCAGUGCAGCGAGUUCGCGAUUUUCCUAACGGUAGGCCACAAUCGCCUGUCCUGAAUUCGCGUGGUGCGUGGUUUUUACUCACAGAAAAGUGUAGUGCUCCAUCCUGGGGUAGAUUUCUUCCGUAGAUCUUAGUGUUGUGGAAAACUGAACCGCUUUUUUUCGAACGCGGGAAUUUUCCGUUGUCUUUUUCGAUGGUCCAAUGACUUGGACCUUACUGAAGUUCAAACUAAACGUCUAGUGAAUUUUUUAGUGUUUCUCUGAUAACCUCUACAGGAUUGUGUGUUCAUAAUUUUCGGUUCGUCCUAGCGUCGUGCGUUGAUACUAGCUUUCGUCAGCAUGUGCAUAGUUUUGAAUCCGUGAAUCCGAAUUGCGUUGUACUCAUGUGAAAAUGGAAAACCUAUCGGCUCCCUGCUUCAAGUACGACUCAGAGAUCACAGACUGUCACCUUUUCAGGAGUGAAUACGCUCGCGACUUGGCGAUGGACGCCUCUCAUCAGAGCAAGUCCCUGGAUUACUCCUUUCGCGAUUCUCCCAUCCGUGAGGAGAACGAGAUGAAAUCUUGGUUCCGCAAAAGUUCGUUAUCGUCACCGAAACCCAGUCCGCGAAGUGCAUUCAUGGAUACCUCAAAUCGUGAUUGCUCCAAGUUCUAUCCGCGCAACAGUGAAAUCACCAAGUUCAACAAACUGAGAAAGGAUACCGCUAAAUUAUUGGAUUCGAGGAAUGGUGACAUAUUGAUGAACAGCCGUGAAGAAUCGUUGGAGGACGAAGUUUGUCGUCUUAAAAAGGUAGGUAAUUAAAUAUUCAUUUUCAUACUGUUAAAAAGUAGAGCCAGCAUACCGAACCAAUCUAUCAUUAGAAUCCACUUUUGGAUGAUUUGAUAGAGAAUGUAACUAAC
rnacentral:lncRNA from 1 species